rnacentral:SRP_RNA from 1 species
AUUAAGGCCCUGUACGAUCUGGAUGCCGCGAACCAUGUCAGGCGGGGAACCGAGCAGCAUUAAGCGGUCUUCUCGGUGCGAUGCAGAAAGUCUUGCGCCG